UACGAAGGGGACUAGCGUUGUUCGGAAUCACUGGGCGUAAAGCGCACGUAGGCGGCUUUCUAAGUCAGGGGUGAAAUCCUGGAGCUCAACUCCAGAACUGCCUUUGAUACUGGAGAGCUUGAGUCCGGAAGAGGUGAGUGGAACUCCGAGUGUAGAGGUGAAAUUCGUAGAUAUUCGGAAGAACACCAGUGGCGAAGGCGGCUCACUGGUCCGGUACUGACGCUGAUGUGCGAAAGCGUGGGGAGCAAACAGG
rnacentral:rRNA from 1 species